CCCUUAGAUGUUCUGGGCCGCACGCGCGCUACACUGUUCGACGCAGCGAGUCUUAACCUUGACCGAAAGGUUUGGGUAGUCUUCAGCAAAGUCGAACGUGAUGGGGAUCGAUCAUUGCAAUUAUUGAUCGUGAACGAGGAAUUCCUAGUAAGUGCAAGUCAUCAGCUUGCGCUGAUUACGUCCCUGCCCUUUGUACACACCGCCCGUCGCUACUACCGAUUGAAUGGUUUAGUGAGAUCUCUGGAUUGACGCUGGCUAGGGGGCGACCCUUGGCCAGGCUGUCGAGAAACUGCUCAAACUUGAUCAUUUAGAGGAAGUAAAAGUCGUAACA
rnacentral:rRNA from 1 species